rnacentral:tRNA from 1 species
GGAGGGUGUAGCUCAGUGGUAGAGUGCAUGCUUAGCAUGCACGAGGUCCUGGGUUCAAUCCCCAGUAUCUCCA